UAUAAAGCGAUGAAAAAGAAGAGUAAGCACUUAAUUAAAUCAAAGAGAGUUAGGGCUGGUGAGAACCUGAUAUUUAAUAAUGCUGAAGGAAGCUUUGGAGCUAUAUUUUCAAUUAAGUGGGUUAGUAAUAACCAAUUUAGGUGGUAACGCGGAAGAUAUGUCUUUCGUCCUAAAG
rnacentral:ncRNA from 1 species